AAUUUAUUUAUUGCGAAGCAUAGUCGGUAAAAGCAACAAAGGCUUUCUUCCAGACGUCACGAACUUCAUUGGUCAACGCGUUGCCCAUCUCUUCUUGCAUAGCCGUCAUCCAGAUAGGUCCAAAUUUCUGUCAACGGUUCAGAGCAGGGCAUCGUUCGGGAUGUGGAAUUUUAAGAUGGGGCAGGAUGUAAUCUAAACUGGCGACGCAGGAGUAGGCCGCAUUCAGGAAGUCGUGAUUAUUUGGCAAAUCAGUGAGAGAAAAAGCCAUCAAGUGUUUUACCUCACAAAAACUUUGGGUGCGAAAUCGCUGCGUUUCCUCAGAAUACUCCAGCUGUUGUUCAUCGUGGUAAUAUCGUUUUCACUUAAGAUAUUAAAGAAGCCACCACCUCCUCCUUCCAUCAUUCGACUUUCACCUCCAUAACUAAAUUUGUCAGCGCCAGCGCGAUUGCCUGACGAAUGGAAAGUUUUGGUUAUUCCAGUGCUCAAGUCGAGGACAGUCGUCACAGUGGUCGUCGUCACAAACGGGCCGCCUGUCGUUCCAUGGUCACAUCCGAUCACAUCGUCCGUUGAAAGGAUAGCAAAUUUCUCGUUGAAUCAAUACCAACAACAUACGUAAGCCAUACUCACUCCGGAUGUAUAUGUUUAAUAAAUGAAUGUGUCGACAAUAAAUCAAAAAGUCAUCCCGAAA